rnacentral:rRNA from 1 species
AUUGAACGCUGGCGGCAGGCCUAACACAUGCAAGUCGAGCGAGCGGCGGACGGGUGAGUAAUGUAUGGGGAUGCGUCCGAGAGGGGGGGAUAACUACUGGAAACGGUAGCUAAUACCGCAUUCCCUCAGAUGUGCCCAGAUGGGAUUCGCCAGUAGGUGGGGUAAAGGCUCAUCUAGGCGACGAUCUCUAGCUGGUCUGAGAGGCUGAUAAGCCACACUGUGACUGAGACACGGCCCAGACUCCUACGUGAGGCAGCAGUGGGGAAGAUUGCACAAUGGGCGCAGGCCUGAUGCAGCCAUGCCGCGUGUAUGAAGAAGGCCUUCGGGUUGUAAAGUACUUUCAGUCGGGAGGCGUUGCCGACAGGAGAAGCACCGGCUAACUCCGUGCCAGCAGCCGCGGUAAUUC